GGCAACGUUGGAAGUAGUACUUUGGGAGAAGGCAGUACCACCAAUGGCAGACCGGCCAACGACGUCGUUCGAAAAACAAUUACCCAUUGUCCAAGAGUAGGAGCCGAAAGUUGGGGAGGUGAGGGAUACCUGUCUCCAAAGUCCAACUCCAACUGGUAGACACAAUUGUGCUACAACCAAAAAUUAAUAACCUCACAUAUCAUAACCUCAGCUACGCCAAUGAUAUCCAUAUUCCAUUGGUGAUGCUCACAACGGAAACCUCUAGUCAUUUUCUCAUACCGC
rnacentral:misc_RNA from 1 species